AAGGCCUUCGGGUUGUAAACCUCUUUCAGCAGGGUAAUAAGCGAAAGUGAAGGUACCUGCAGAAGAAGCACCGGCUAACUAUGUGCCAGCAGCCGCGGUAAUACAUAGGGUGCAAGCGUUGUCCGGAAUUAUUGGGCGUAAAGAGCUCGUAGGUGGUCGAUCACGUCGGAUGUGAAAUUCUGAGGCUUAACCUCGGACCUGCAUUCGAUACGGGUUGACUAGAGUGUGGUAGGGGAGACUGGAAUUCCUGGUGUAGCGGUGGAAUGCGCAGAUAUCAGGAGGAACACCGAUGGCGAAGGCAGGUCUCUGGGCCAUUACUGACACUGAGGAGCGAAAGCGUGGGGAGCGAACAGGAUUAGAUACCCUGGUAGUCCACGCCGUAAACGGUGGGCGCUAGUUGUGGGAACCUUCCACGGUUUCUGCGACGCAGCUAACGCAUUAAGCGCCCCGCCUGGGGAGUACGGUCGCAAGACUAAAACUCAAAGAAAUUGACGGGGCCCCGCACAAGCAGCGGAGCAUGCGGCUUAAUUCGACGCAACGCGAAGAACCUUACCAAGGCUUGACAUAUACAGGAAUACGGCAGAGAUGUCGUAGCCGCAAGGUCUGUAUACAGGUGGUGCAUGGUUGUCGUCAGCUCGUGUCGUGAGAUGUUGGGUUAAGUCCCGCAACGAGCGCAACCCUCGUCCUGUGUUACCAGCAUUUAGUUGGGGGACUCACAGGAGACUGCCGGGGGUCAACUCGGG
rnacentral:rRNA from 1 species